AUGCUCUCUUCUGCAGCACAUAUACCACAAUUGGAAUGAUACAGAGAAGAUCAGCACGGCCCCUGUGCAAGGAUGACAUGCAAAUUUGUGAAGCUUUCCAUAUUUUU
rnacentral:snRNA from 1 species